AUCCCAGGAGCGCAGACUUCUGUUGGACACGGCUUUGGGGCACAGGCGUCUCUCCAGAGGGAACAGAGACGUGCGGGACAGAGACAGACAGGAAGGACACACAGCAGUGGGUGCGCUCGGCUGGGCGAGCAGAGAACAGCUCAGGGGGGCACUGUCUCCCCUGCGGGGGGCCCACCGCUCUCUGCCGGCGCGCCAGGGGGCCUCAGGUAAGACCCAGGCUUCAGUCUCAGAAGAGGCAGCCGCAGAGGGACAGUGGCUCCGGUUGCCUCCAGGGGGCGGGCGAGGCCGAGGACGGGGAGGCCGGGCGGUUAUCGGGGGCCCUGGGAGCGGCCGGGCCUUCCUGGAGGCAGCGGCCGGCGCGGGUGGGAAAGACAGCUGGGGCAGGGGCGAGGGGCCGUGUCUCCAGCAAUCUGCCCUCUGCCCCCACCCCUCCCAACAGCUGUCCCAGCCGGGUCCGGCCCUGUCCUCGGCCCGGGACGCGGCACUGAGGACGCGCGGAGUGGGCGUGGUCAGGAGCCGCGGUGACGUCGGUGCACGAUACGGUGUGGAGAGGAGCCAGCCUGGCAGGGGAGAGGACUGCUCGGCUCCCCUGUAGUGGCACGGGCUCCUGAAAACCAGGGGUGCCAGACUGAGGGGGGCGCCGAAGACAGGAGGGGCAGGGGACAGGUGUGAAGGUGCGGUGCCCACGGCCUCCUGUCCACCCGCACGGUCACCGCCCAUCGGCCUCCCUCACGAGCCACCACGCCGCUGUCGUCACCAACCAGGCAGCAUCCUCCCUCGGGUCUUCCCACCACACGUCCGUCCCGUUUUCUGUCCGUCUGUCCAGCCAGCCAGCCGCCCCACGUCCUGACCCCGGGCUCCGGCUGCGACCCCAGCAGCGGCCUGGCCUGUGGCCGUAGGCUCCGAGGCGUCCAUUGUGGACCGGUUGCCCAGGACUACAGUCAUGCUUUCCCGGAUCAUCAUUUUGAUGUGGCUUAAGCACCCUGUCCAGGCCCCAGGCUCUCUGAACUCAGCUUAAUUCAGCUCCCCCCCCCCACCUUGGCAGGAAGUGCCUGUCCCCUGAGAACAGCCCCUGGUGUGGGGGCAGCUCAGGGACAGACCCAGAUGGAGGUGACUUGAGCAGCAGAGGUCAGGACAGCUCUGAACUCCCCC
rnacentral:lncRNA from 1 species